AUACGUAGGGAGCGAGCGUUGUCCGGAAUUACUGGGUGUAAAGGGAGCGUAGGCGGGAGUGCAAGUCAGAUGUGAAAUACAUGGGCUCAACCCAUGGGCUGCAUUUGAAACUGCAUUUCUUGAGUGACGUAGAGGUAAGCGGAAUUCCUGGUGUAGCGGUGAAAUGCGUAGAUAUCAGAAGGAACACCGGUGGCGAAGGCGGCUUACUGGGCUUUUACUGACGCUGAGGCUCGAAAGCGUGGGGAGCAAACAGGAUUAGAUACCCUGGUAGUCCACGCUGUAAACGAUGAUUACUAGGUGUGGGGGGACUGACCCCUUCCGUGCCGCAGUUAACACAAUAAGUAAUCCACCUGGGGAGUACGGCCGCAAGGUUGAAACUCAAAUGAAUUGACGGGG
rnacentral:rRNA from 1 species